AUGGGCACUCCAAUGAUGGGCCAACAACCGUACAAGCUGAAUUGGUAAUGGGUCAUGGUUAGCAAUGUCAAGUCUCAAAAUCACCAAAAUCUCUCACAUUAGUCAAGUUAAAAGUAAAUUUACAAAGUUACUAUAAUAACUAUGUAAAUUUACGCUAAUACUAUUCAUUUUGCAUAAAGUUUUUUAUUUAUUAUUUCUUUACGUAUUCCAAUGAUGAAGGAAGAGACAAGCUAAAAAUGUGUAAAUUUGCAAAAUUACUAUAACAAUUAUGUAAAUUUACACCAAUACUGUUUACUUUGUAUUACAAUAUAUUAAGAAACAACUCUUUUAUGUAUUUUCAUUUGUUGAUAUUUUGUUAAUACCAAAUAAAUGGUAGUUUAGAUUUUCAUUUUAAAAAAAAAUUUGGUUUAUACAUACAUCCCCUCAAUAGAAUUUUUGGUUUCGUCUCUAGAGUGAUUAUCAUGCCAAAAGUGCGCGAUGAUUAAAAACAUAUCUUAAACCAAUCCAUUAGAGCAUCUUUAAUUUUUCUCGAAUUAAGCUGGUGCCACAAUUUGUACCACAACUCGUUCAUCUGGCGAGUUGUGGUUGGUGAAAGGGGUGUGAGCAAGUUAUGGUUAAUAGAGGAGUGUUCCUACCAACCACAACUCGACACAUGAACGAGUUGUGACACAAAUUGUGACACUAAUAAUGUUGCUCAUUUUUCUCUAUUAUAAUUUAGGGACUAACUAUGUCAUCCAUGAUGUAAUCCAGGGACAUGGUCCGCCAAGAAUCCAACUUGUUAUUUUUUAAGAGCAAAUCUAACUUAUCUCCUUGUCGGUGCAUGUGGCGCAGAAAAACCUAUUACUACAGUAUCGCUCUUUUCUCGUCCCCAUUCUCAAUCGGACGGUCAUCAUAAAAUAGUCCGUUUAAUCACCAUAGAUCCCACACCCUCACAAACAAACCCACAAAUCUACGUGGCCAGUGUUGGUAGAAAAGGCACAGAGCUACUUUACAGUGAAAUUAACGCACUCAUUAUUACUACUAAUGGGGGCGUCACCAACCAACCAAUAGUUAAUAGCCACGUGGCUUCGAGCGGCUUCCACCGGAGUACCUACUUGAUUAAUUAAAGUUGAUUCUCAAAAAAGAAAGGAAAAGACUUGACUAAUUAAAGUUGGUUAAGCUUAAGUCGUCUUUGUUUAAUACUCCUAAUUUUAAUCAGUGUCUUUUGGGAGAUAUUUGGGGACGAGAGGAAUAAUUAAUUUAAUUUAAAUCAAUAGAGGUCGGUUGUAUUUAAUUUGGCAACAGGUGUCUCAGAACGGAUCUUCUGUGCGCAACACGUUUCCAAAUGGCUCAUCAAGUUUCUCUUUCCUCGCUCUCUCUCUCUCCUCCUCCUUCAACUUCUGCUGCUGCUUCUUCUUCUUCUUCUUCGCAUUGUUCACAACGUCGAAGAAUCUUUCUCUCUACGCUCAGAUUCGAAGCUGCAUCGUCUUUGUCAGCUUCUACUCCGAAUUCGAAGGCGAAGGUCGUCGUGACCAGAGAGCGUGGAAAGAAUGGCAAGCUCAUCAAAGCUCUGGUAUGUCAUUCCUCACUCUCUCUCUCUCUCCGCCACUGUUAUCUUCUUGAGAUUUUUUUUUUGUUGCAUUCCGGUUGGAUUUCUAGGGUUUCAGAACGCAUGAUUUUGGUGCUUCUGUAGCUUUUUCUUUAAUCUGCUAGUUUUAGUUUCAUUCACUUUGUUGUAUCUUCAAUUUAUUUGAAUUUCUUUGUUGUAGUUGAGUUUGGCAUGAGGAUUUGGUGUUUGAUCUAAUAGUAAAUAUUUCUACGGCUUGUGCAUUAUCUGCAUGUACCAUUGAGAGUAGACUGAUGUUACAUUCCAAAAAAGCCAAAAUCUAAUCAUUUUGAACAGUAUUAAAAAGCUACAUUUGGUUCACUUUCUACAAGGAAAAAAAAAAAUUGUGUGUAGGCUGAAAUUUUUUUUUAUAUGAAUAAAUAGUUUGAAGAGAAAAUAUGUUCUUUUAUUUUCUCUUUGGUGUAGGAUGAAGAAAAAAAAUGGUGUUAAGUGUUAACACAUGGUGAUGCUAGUUGUUUUUGUCAUAGUUCCAAUUAUACAAAAAUAAACAUAUUAAAUUAUUUGUGUUUUUGCCAUUGGUUUUGUAAAAUGAAGUGGCUGGUAAGUAGAUUGGAUAUGAUUUGCAUAAAACUAGACUAUCAUGAAGCAUUUAAAAAAAAAAAGGAUUAUUAUUAUCAAUAGUUUGAUGAUGCGUCUAUUCAAAUGUAUGAUAAUUUCACAAUUUGUCAACAAUGAAGUAAGUGGGAAUUCCUUGUGUUUGUGCGUAGUGUCAUAUAUUUUGUUUUUGUUCACAACCGAUCCCAAGCCCCAAAAAAGGAAAAAUUCAUUCACUCUAUUAUCAAUGCAACAACACCCCCCAUUUUUCUGCCUCAAAAACAAGCAAAAAAAAGGAAAAACCCGAUUUUCUUGAUCUUGCAUCUAUACUUCUCUUGCUUUAGCACAAAAGAAUGGCACAUGCUGCAGUUUAUCACCUAUAUAUGGUUUCAUUGAGACCACAACUAUUGCUUCUGCAGCUAAUUUUUUUAUCUGUUGCUGCCACACAUUUGCAACCACUGAUUUUGUGCAUCCAUCGCUGCCACCUAUUCACAACCAUUGCAAUUUACAACCUGUUUAGAUUUAUCUCCCUUGCCACUUCUUUCAAUGCCAUUUCUCUACAAUGUUCACUAUAUCCACCGUCACAGCAUGCAAAUCUUUUCUUUCAAUUACUAAAAGCUAUUCCAUUUUUUAUACAUAACAUAGUUUCAGCUAUAUGGUAAUAAAUAUUUUGCACUACUGUUAAUUUUAUUAAAACCAGUAUGGUGCUGCACCGUUGCUAGUUUUACUCGCAUAUUGUGUUUGCUGUGUUCUUUGCAAAAUAUUACAUCCAUUUAUUAUUAUUAUUUUUUUGUGCAUCGUGCUUACUCAGCUGUGUCCAGUGGACACAAAGCUGUCUGUCCACCACCAAAAAAAUAUAUUACAGUGGGAUUCUUUUUGAAUGGGUGGUCAAAUACAGUUUGGAAUUAAGAUGAAAUUUCUAAUGUUGAGUACAGGCCAAACAUGGGAUCAACUGUCUGGAGCUUCCCCUCAUUCAGCAUACACAGGGACCUGAUCUAGAUAGGCUUUCUUCUGUAUUAAAUGGUAAGAUCACAAGCUCUGUGUUUUAGCUUGUUGGUGGUAUGGACCCACUUUCUUUAAUGCAAGUGCCAAUGAUGUCAUUCUACCACUGAUCACGGUUAGGUUAUCUCUAAUGUGGCAGCAUGUAUGAGUAGCUAGAAUCAAACCACAUGACAUAUUCCUUGUCAGUUGGAAUGCUGUGUUUGUGCGGAUUAUAUGCCAAGCUAUGGGUUGGCAAGCCUGGAUUAAUUUGGACUGAUAAAUAUGAGAUGAAUCUUUAAAGAGAUAUAGUUAGGAUAGGUCUUGGAUCUGGUGUAUGUCCAGGGUCCCGAUUACCUUAGUUAUGACUUAUUUAUUCUUUGCCUGAAAUUGAACUUGCUUUUUAUUUUUGUUUUCUAGUUUUCUUUUAUUAUGAUUUUGGACAGUUGUGUGGCUUUUUACAACUGGUUAUUCUCAUGCCUCUUAAAAUUCUUGCCCCUACCCAGUAUGACGCCUAAUUGCAUAUAUUUUAUGUCAUUCAAGAAUGAUUGGUUAGUGGUGCUUGCCUGACAUGUUACAAAUGAGAUUUAUUUUUCACAUUAUUUCUUCUUUUCUGUUUAUGGCAGCAGGCACUACAUUUGACUGGAUAGUCAUAACUUCCCCUGAGGCGGGUUCAGUCUUUUUGGAGGCAUGGAAGUAAGGUUUAGAACUUGUUAACUAUACUCUGGCCCACUUAGUAAAAUUAUUUUUUUUUCCUGCAAAUUUUCUCGAAGAUGUGACCUGAAUUUUUGUUUGUGCUUCAAUGGUGUGUCCUGUCUUCUUGAGCUGCAUCUCAACCUUCAUUUUAGGAUAUGUAUAUUAUAUUUUUCAAUUGAAAUGUUCUAUACCUUGUUAUGAAUUGAUUGGCUUUUUGACAUAAUGCUUAGGCUGUGUGGAAAAUUGUUUAUUCCCUAGGAUGCUGGAUGCAAUUCAGCAUAUCAUAAGAUAUGGUGCCUUAAAGAGAUCUUAAAUUAAAUACUGGUUUCCUUUUCUUUUCUUCUUUUCAUACUUGACGAAAAUGGUAAACUUGACCUCUAUUUAAAACCUUAGGGCUGCUGGGACCCCAAAUGUUAAGGUAGGUGUUGUGGGAGCUGGUACGGCGAGCGUUUUUGAGGAAGUAAUGCAGUCCUCAAAGCAAUCACUCAGCGUUGCCUUUGCUCCCUCUAAAGGUACUCAUUAAUGUAUUUAUGUGCAGGCUUGCACUUAGAUUUAAACUUGCAUUUUGCUACCUGUUAUUGGGAACACAUGAUAAUCUAUAUGAUGAGAACUGGGGGUAUUAUCAUACAUGAAUCUUGAUAAUCAGCAUGAAUUAGACUCUUGACAAUCCAACAUUUUUUUAGUUGCUUUGCUAAAAGCUAAAAAAUUGAGUGAAUAUGUUAGAACAGUCUUGUGUUGAUGAGAAUGUUAGAUUUCUGGAUUGCAGAAAUUUAGUUUAUUAUAUUGAGGAGACAUUUAGUUGGGUUUGCUUUCCUGCAUUUAGGGUUGAUUAUUGACUCCAUUUAUACAUGCGAACACAGACAUGCAUACAUGCACAGAUACUUAUAUGCAUACGUGUGUGUGUGUGUGUGUGUGUAUUGUUUGUUUUGGAGCAAUUUGGUGCGUUUCUUUUGAGUAUGUAUCAUUCAUUGCUACCAUGGUUUAUUGUUUAUAGUAUUUUGUUCAAUGGAUAAUCCAUUCUUCUGAAAAAUUACUAUUAUUUGAUUCGGUUAAGCACCAUAAUGUGAAAUUUUUGUGAAUUGUCUCACUCCAGCGACAGGUAAGGUUCUAGCUUCUGAGCUUCCAAAGAAUGGGCAAAAAUGCAGAGUCCUAUAUCCUGCUUCUGCAAAAGCUAGCAGUGAGAUUGGUAUGUGAUAUGCUUCUUGUUAUAUGUUUCUUUUGGCCUUUUCAUUACUGAGAAUGUUAUUUUUUUGAUAUUUUAUGAGAAUGAGAAUGGUGUUGUGCAUUGCAAAAUCAGUCUGAUUGGCUUGGUGCACUAAUACAAGUAAAGUUUUAGGGUAGAUGAGAAGUAGUAUGUGAUCAUGCAGUUGUUGACUCAAACUAGUAGCUAGAGUUGGCUUAUAAUAACCACUUUAAAAAGUGGCCAGCUGUGGAUUUUUUUAAUUAACAAUACACAGAAAUAGGAAACCAAAAUUAACUAGCAGUUUCAAAACCUGCAGAAUACUCCUAUCAAGACAUAAAAAAUGUUAAGGAAUUUGAUAAGAGGGAUUUUGGGGACACUUCAUUAAAUGAGCUUCACUUUGACCAAGCAAAGUGCUUAGAUCUUGAGGCUUUGUGCUUUGAGUUUUAAUCCGCAUUUAACAAUACUGCUAUGAUAACGAUGUAUUUCUUUGUGGGUAAAUUACAAAUUACCUUCCUAUGGUACGGGUUAGUUACAAAUUACUUUUGUGUGGUGAGGGGUAGCCCAAGCUUAAUAGUUUAUAGUCUCAAUGUUUUAUAAUUUAGCAGUUAGUAUCAUACUUAUAGUUGAUUUUCUUUGUUUUUAUAUUUAAAAAAGGUUGUGCAAAAUCUUAAACAACAAUUAUGGUGUAUGUGUUACAGAGGAAGGAUUGUCUAAUCGUGGAUUCGAGGUCACAAGGCUAAAUACAUAUACGACGGUAAAGUAUUUAGUAUUGCUGGUAUGGUUGUGGGUUUCUUGUAUAACGAACAUAAUGCCACAUUUGAUUUGCUCUAUGCAUACAUUGAAACUUUUAUUGACAUAUUGCUUACUAAAAACAAAAAGAGAACUUUUCUUGACAUUUAAUAUGAAUCAUAAGAUUACUGACAUGUGUCUUAUUAUGAGCUUAAUGCUGUUGAUUUCCUAUUAAGGACUGUCCCGUGAUCAAUUUUUAAUUUUUAUGUGAUUCUUAGAAUGUAUGUUCACUGCAAAUUCUAAUCUGCCAAAUUUGCUUCCAAGGAUUUUUCAUUGUGGGGCCUAUAUAUUUUGUUGAUUUUCUGACAUGCACUUGUCAUAUUAAACUUUGCUGAUUGGAAUUCAUUUUUGCUUCUGAUAUCUGCUUAUCCAUCUCAGUGGGAUUUUUUAUGGAUAAUCAUUCAUUGUGAUGUUCUCUUAGAUUCAACAUUUAAUUUGAUCACAUGCCUCAUGUUCACACCUCACCAUCACAAAGAAUUGGAAGGUUCCCCUCUUUCUGGGAAUUCUGUUGACAGGCCUGAAUUUAUGAGUUCUGAGCUGGUUAAAUAAAAUUAGGCUAUAAAUAUUUCGCUCUUUUUCCCUGUGGAAACUACACAAUUGUUGUGAAUUCCGUUAUUUACAAUGACAUCAUGUUUACCAGCUGUGGUUCUCUUCUUGUGGUUUUUUGGGAAGUCAUAGAUCCCUUGAAUCAAUGGAUUUUAGUGCCCUAUAAUUUAAAGAGUUAUUUAACAUUUCUCCCAACUCAAGAGUGACAAUGUUGCGGUAAAAAUGAAUUAAUUGGUUGUCUGUGUUCAAUCUUGAUUCUAGAAUCUUCAAAGAAGUGGGUGUUUCUCCGGCCUCUAAAAUAACUGCCUUAUUCUUUUCUUGUGAUAUGUGGAAGCGUAAUCUAUUAUAAGUUGCUGUUUAUGUACAUGGGUACUAAUUCAAGUUGGUGAUUUAUACUUGUCCAAAAAAAAUAAAAAAAUUCAAGCUGGUGAUUUAUAAUAAGCCAAUUGUGUUAAUUGUGUAAAUAAGCCCCUGAUUUGAAAUGAUUUCUUCUAGGUACCAGUCCAUGAUGUUGACCAAAUGCUUUUACAGCAGGCACUUUCUACUCCUGUUGUUGCAGCUGCUUCGCCUUCUGCAGUUCGGUGUGUAAUUGGUGCUUUUUAUUUUUAUGCAACAUUUAGUUAGUUUCCCCAGAGUUACAGAGUGGAGUGACAUGUACUUGACCGUUUCAUAAACUGCCUAUACGCAGUUUAAGUCAACUUUAUGGUUACACCCCUUAUGAUGAGGGUCAAUAAAACACCUAUAUUUCUUUUUGUUCUUUGGGCUACCUAGAUUGACCAGGGGGUUUUUGAUAAGGAAGUUUUAGUCCAUGUACUUAGUUCAUAAAUCUCCAUUGCAACAGUGCCUGGAUCAAACUUAUUUCAGAUGCAAAGUGGUGGAAUAAUUCAGUUGCCUGUAUUGGUGAGACAACUGCUUUGGCUGCGAAAAGAUUAGGCCUGCAAAAUGUGUACUACCCAGCACAACCUGGUGUUGAAGGGUAUGUUCACUUUCCUUACAUAUUUUGUUGGAGAUUUUACCUUAUGCCAGUAUCUCUUUGAUAUAAGUUAUUGAUUACAAACCUUUUGUGCUAUGGUUGUUACUGAAUGCAAUUGACUGAUCAAAAAAAUCGGAGAAAAUUUAUGCCACUGACCUAAAAUUUACUAACUACUGUUUCCUUUAAUUGUAAUUGGGCUGUUAGCUCCACAUUUUUUAUUAGCCUAGUAUAAUCAAAUAAUAAUUAUUUGUAAAAUAUUGAGAAUGAAUUUAAUGUAAUAUGUGAUGAAUUACGAUAAGAUAUAAAGUGGCUUGUGCAAGAAAACUAGCUUUGAAUUGUUGAGGAUGGUAGUCAGAUGUUUUGGUUUCUGUUAAAUGAAAGAGACUCGCAAUUUAAAAUUUUUAACCAUUUCCAGGAGAUUACACAUACUGUUGUUUGAUGCAGUUUCAAACUGUACAACUUUUUUUAAACUUCACUUUUUUCUAAGUACAUGUAAAAAAAACCUCCAUUUUCAAAAACUGAAAAAUAUGACCAAAUGGGCCCGAUAGUAGUUUCUUCCAAUUUUGAAAUACAACCUAGGAAGUUAUUACAUGCAAAAACUAUGGUAAAUCCUAGGAAGCAUGGAUACUCCAUUUUUUCUUAGGUACCCGUAUUCGAUAUGUAUCAUACCAAAUUCCUUUAGGAUACCUCUGCAUGCAUGUCCUAGCCUUUUAUUUUUUGAUAAAAAGUGACGAUGCGUCUAGGAUAUGCCCAUGAUACUGCUCGGAUACAGUGGCAACCCAACCCCCUGAGAUAGCCCUAACUUGUAAGGAUUUUUAUUUAUAUUUUCUAUAUAUUGGUUUUAAUGUGGAACACUUAUCUAUUUACUCUUUUGGAUCUUGGUUUGUAUUCUAGACAUCAUUUAAUGGCCUUGGAAUCACUUUAUUUUUCAUUAUUACUUUUAAAUUGAUAUAUACUUAAUAAUAUAUGAAAAAUGAAUGCUUAACAAUAUAUAAAAAGUAUAAAUAAAAAUAUAUUUAAUAAGUAAUUAAUUCAUGUAACCCUACUGUAUCGUAUCAUAAUUUUUCCAGAAUUUUCAUAUAGUUAUAUCCCAUAUUGUACUGUAUCCGUACCCGUGCUUCAUAGGGUAAAUCAUGAGAUUGAACUUGAUAUAGUUGGCACAUUUAUUUAUAGUAUUUGAUAAAUAGAUUCGUGUAAACAUAGCUGUUAGUUUUUUUUUUUUUUUUUUGGUGGGAAGGGUGUGUUAAGUUAGGAAUGUGUAAUGGUUCUUGAACCCAUGGUCUCAUCCUUGACGUCUUUACAAGGGGAGAAGGUGCCCUUUGAGCUAGAGCUCAUUUGAGACUUCAAAUGAGUUUUGUGCAGUUCAUAACUUGGUUUUUUGAGUUCACUGUCAAUUUGUGGAUUGUUCUAGUACAUCAAUCGGACUUGUCACCUCCUAAAUUUUUGGCAGGUGGGUUGGUAGCAUCCUUGAAGCCUUGGAAGCACAUGAUCAUUUCUAGGUCAUUUUAUCUAGGUAACUUUUUCUUUUCCCGUGUUUUUGAUCAUAAGUGUCAUUUUUCUCUUCUUUUUUUUUUUCCUUGCCUCCCAAAAAAUAAUGAGUUGUUUCUCUAUAGCUUUUCCCCAGGAUGCAAGCAGACAAAGAGGCAACAUGUUCAGGAUUAUGUCAGCGCCUCAUAGACACAAAUAUUGCAGCUUCUGUGCAAACUAG
rnacentral:sRNA from 1 species